AAUGUUGCCACUACAAGGUUCAAUAUUGAAAUGUGAUUAUCAGAAGCAGUGGGCCAUCAUUGAAAGAGUACCCUUGUAAUUGCAUUGUGGAAUAUGCAUCCAUUAUUCAAAGAAAGGGCGACAUUCCAAGCACUCACACUUUCUCUCCUUGCUUGCUAAAUUGGCUGACAAGCUAAAGAAGUCGGUAGAGUAUGAAAUUCAUUUUCUCAAGGCAAGGGUUUCAGAACUUGAAAGUGAUCUUGUGUCAAAGUCCAUAGAAGUUACAUCUGCAGUUUUAAGGAAAGAAGAAGCUCUAUCUUCUGCAUUUGCUGAAAUUGACUGUCUGAAGGAAGAAAAUUCUGUAAAAAUGUAAGCAUUAUUGAAUGCAUAUGGAGGGUGUUUACUGUGUUAGAGUGUA